CAACAGUGUAAGAGGGUUCCCUUUUCUCUGACCCCUUUCCAGCAUUUAUUAGUUGUAGUCUUUUUGAUGAUGGCCAUUCUGGCUGGUGUAAGGUGGUACUCAUAGUAGUUUUGAUUCACAUUUCUCUAAUUUGUGAUGUUGAGCAUCUUUUGAUGUGUUUUUUGGCCAUCUUUCCGUCUUUGGAUAAAAGGCCUUUUAGAAUAUGUGGCACAUAUAUGCAGUGGAAUAUUACUCACCCACAAAAAGAAUGAAAUAAUGCCAUUUGAAGCAACAUGGAUGGACCUAGAGGUUAUCAAACUAGUCAGACAGUGAAAGACAUCGUAUGAUGUCACUUAUGUGCAGAAUCUAAAAAAGGAUAUAAAUUAACUUAUUUGCAGAACAGAAACAGACUCACAGACUUUGAAAAACUAACGGUUACCAAAGGGGACAGGUUGGGCGGGUAUGCUUGGGGUUCAGGAUUGCCAUAUGCAUACUGAGGUAUAUGCAAUGAUUGGCCAGCAGGGACCUGCUAUAUGGCACAGAGAACUCUAUGCAAUAUUCUGUGAUACUCUAUAUGGGAAGAUAAUCUGAAAGAGUAUGGAUGUGUGUACAUGUAUGACUGAAUCACUUUGUUGUACAGCAGAAAUUAUCACAUUUUAAAUCAACUAUACUUCAAUAAAGCUUUAAAAAUGAAAAAAAAAGCAAACAUAGAAACUGGGCUAAAGACGUAAACUUGCAUUUGUUUUAGAAGACAUAAGUAUCUAGGUGUGUCUGUGUUAGAAGGUUGGGGGUAACUGAGGGCAGUUAUUGACUCUUUAAUUUCAAGUAUAUAUAACACUUAAAAAUGCAUGAUGUUUUUGGAGGCAAUGCUAUCUGUAUCAAGGUUGACUUUUGAAAUUUUGGUAUUUUUUUUCUUUUUAGGGCCACACCUGCAGCGUAUGAAAAUUCCCAGGUUAGGGGUCAAAUUGGAGCCAUAGCUGCUGGCCUUCACCACAGCCACAGCAACAAUGAAUCUGAGCCUCGUCUGUGACCUACACUACAGCUUUUGGCGAUGCCAGAACCUUAACCCACUGAGUGAGGCCAGGGAUUAAACCCGAAUUCUCAUGGAUACCAGCCGGGCUCUUAACCUGCUGAACCACAACAGGAACUCCCAGACAUACUUUUUUUUAAAAAAAUGAAGAUAGGAUGUAUCACUUAAGUUCCUGCAUAGUGUAAUUCUUCAGCUCUUCUAGAGGACUAUAUUAAUUACAGAUUAUUUGGUUGAUUAUGUUAACUUAUUUUUCAGCAUAACUUUUGCUUAAAUAGAAUCAUCUUCAUUACAUCUGGGAUCAUUUAAAUAGCAUAAUUACGUGUAAGGGAAAAAGGGUUGCUAUGUGAUUAUAUGAAAUCAUGUGUAUGAAACUUUUGAAAAUUGUAAAACACUCUGGAAUUUAAAGACUUUUCAUUCAAUAAAAUAAGUUAAAAAAAGAAGUCAUUGCUAAUCAACAAUCCUAAAGGGCAUAUAAAUGUCUUGGUUUUGAUAUUUGAUAUUAAGAAAUUGUUAUUCAUUAGUUAUAUACUCUUAAAAAUAUAAGUACUCUGACAACUUUUAAAUUAAGGUAUAAUCUAUCAGUUCUCUAUGGAUUUCAUUUUUUCUUUCUAAAUGAAAAAAUUUUUAAACUCUCUUUUAGAAAAAAUUAUUUUUGAGCCCUAAGAAACUGAUAUUUACAUUGCAAUGUAUACAUCCUAUCUUUAACUUUUUAUCAAGUAAGCAGUCUCAACCAGCUGAAUGAUUGCAUCAGGCCUAAGUAAUUAAGCAUAUCAGAAAACAUGCAAUUAAUAAUGAACAGAUUGUUAGACACUUCCUUCUAGCGGUACAGUCGUUUAAAAAAGAAAACAUUCUAAACGUUUUUUUCAUUUAAAAUGUAUUUUACCUGCCAAAAAAUACAAAUGUGGUUUUCUUAACCUUGAACACUGAUAUAUGCAUGUGCAGUUGGGAAGCAUUCCUCUUUUUUUGCCAGCUAAUUAGCUUUUGGCGUAAGUGUAAUUGUUCUCCAACUACCUGACUCCUUCUAGUAUCCCUUGUGCUGAGGGUAUCUUUCCUUUAUAGGAUAUUUUGUAAAAUUUCAAGAAGAAAGUUCUGAGAAGUUCCUAGGAGAGAAGGAAAAGCAGAUAAAGGAGAGAAUAACACUACCCAUAUUUGGGAAUUUGGGGGAGGGAGGUAAAAGAGAAACUAGAGAGUAAGAGAAGAUUUAGGAGAACCUGUUGUUUCAGGCAAGUGAGAAAAGUUUUAAGUGAGAAGAGUUUUAAGAAGGAGGUGAUUGAUGACUUUUUACCAGUGUUUGUCUUUUUUGCCUUUAGUUUGGGUAAUAUGAAGAGGUUAUCAAAUUGGAGGUCAUGGUUAACUUUUCAGCAGUGUGAUUUAGUUGAGUGGUAGGACAGAAACUGAUUCCUGAGAGAUCAAAGAAUGAAGGGAGAAAGGGAAAUAGAAGCAGCAUCAGUAGAAUUUAUUUUAGGUAUUUGACAACCAAGAAGAGGAGAGAAGUUGGGGAAAUAGUUUAAAAGCAUCAGGGUUGAGGAAAGAUUUUAAUAGGAUAAGGGUGCGUAAUCUGAUUUUAGAAUGCGUUGAAGGAUUCAGGGAGAAGAUUAAAGAUAUAAGGAGUGGGACCAAGAUGACAAACAAUGGAAUAACGUCCUGGUCAAAGAAGAAGGGAAUAUGAGUGAGGGUGAAAAUGCGGUCAUUAGCCAUGGGGAAAAUGGAGAGUAUAUUCUGUUCAUAAUAUGCUUAUACUUUGAACAUCAAGUGCUGUAUUUUAAGAGCCCAUCACUCACCACUGCAGAAGCAAUAUAAAGCAUUCUCUAUGGUUGCCAGGCUUAGACAGGGCCGGCAGGUUGAAGGGCAGUGAUACUUUCGCUAGGCAGUGCUUGGUUUAGGAGUGCUGGUUGGCUGUAGCGGUGGGUGGUUCAGUUGCUUACAAAGUAUUCGGUACCUCUUAUCGACUGACUAUAUUCUGACCUGCUCUAAAAAUAAAGAGUGAAACUAAUUACUGAAAGACUUCACCCAACUUUUAAAAAAUGGUUGUCCGAAAAUGUACAUACCAUAAAAUUUACCAUUUUAACCAUUUUAAGUAUACAGUUCAAUGACAUGUGUAGUAUUUAUUGAAAAAAAAAUCUGAGUAUUAAGUGGACCUACACAGUUUAAGGCCCUGUUGUUCAAAGUUCAGCUGUACUUUUACAUUGUUGUACAGCCAUCACCCCCACCCCCUCAGAACUUUAUUUAAAAGUUUUUUUCAGAGUUCCGCUCAUGGUUUAGUGGGUUAAGAACCAGACUAGUAUCCAUGAAGAUGUGGGUUUGAUUCCUGGCCUUCCUGGCCUCACUCAGUGGGUUAAGGAUCUGCCGUUAUGAGCUGUGGUGUGGGUAGCAGACAUGGCUUGGAUCUGGCAUGGCUGUGGCUGUGGCUGUGGCUGGCAGCUGCAUCUCUGAUUCAACCCUUAGCCUGGGAACUUCUAUAUGUCACA
rnacentral:lncRNA from 1 species